rnacentral:rRNA from 1 species
AGAGUUUGAUCCUGGCUCAGGAUAAACGCUGGCGGCGUGCUUUAUGCAUGCAAGUCGAACGGUCUCGAUUUAUCGGGAUAGUGGCGAACGGGUGAGUAACACGUAAGUAACCUGCCCCUAAGUAGGGGAUAACUCUGAGAAAUCGGAGCUAAUACCGUAUGUGGUCCUUCACCGCAAGGGGAAGGACUAAAGCCUUCGGGUGCUUGGGGAGGGGCUUGCGUCCGAUUAGCUAGUUGGUAGAGUAACGGUCUACCAAGGCGAUGAUCGGUAGCUGGUCUGAGAGGAUGGUCAGCCACACUGGGACUGAGACACGGCCCAGACUCCUACGGGAGGCAGCAGCAAGGAAUUUUGGACAAUGGGCGAAAGCCUGAUCCAGCGGCGCCGCGUGGGGGAUGAAGGCUUUCGGGUUGUAAACCCCUUUUCUCAGGGAGGAAUAAUGACAGUACCUGAGGAAUAAGCCACGGCUAACUACGUGCCAGCAGCCGCGGUAAAACGUAGAUGGCGAGCGUUAUCCGGAUUUAUUGGGCGUAAAGAGGGCGCAGGCGGCUUUUCAAGUCGGAUGUAAAAUCUCCCAGCUUAACUGGGAGGGAUCAUUCGAUACUGUUAGGCUAGAGGGCAACAGGGGGAGGUAGAAUUCCCGGUGUAGUGGUGAAAUGCGUAGAUAUCGGGAGGAAUACCAGUGGCGAAGGCGGCCUCCUGGGUUGUUAUUGACGCUUAGGCCCGAAAGCGUGGGGAGCGAACAGGAUUAGAUACCCUGGUAGUCCACGCUGUCAACGAUGGAUACUAGGUAUAGGGAGUAUCGACCCUCUCUGUGCCGAAGCUAACGCGUUAAGUAUCCCGCCUGGGGACUACGGCCGCAAGGCUAAAACUCAAAGGAAUUGACGGGGGCCCGCACAAGCAGCGGAGCGUGUGUUUAAUUCGAUGCAACGCGAAGAACCUUACCAAGGCUUGACAUGACGAGUAGCACCUGAAAGGGGAGUCACCUGUUGAGUCAGACCGUCACAGUGCUGCAUGAUGUCGUCAGCUCGUGCGUGAGGUGUGGUAGUCCUGUACGAGCGCACCCCUGUUGUCAGUUGUUUUUUUCUGGCGAGACUGCCCGAGAACCGGGAGAAAGGUGGGGAUUGACCGUCAGGUCAGCAUGGCCUACGCCUGGCCUACCACCGCUUCAAUUGUGAUCAAAGGUGCAUUAGGCCAGUCUGGGAGCACAAUC